GGCCGGAUGGCGCAGUGGUUAACGCUACUGGCUAGUAAGCAGGAGGUCCUGGGUUCGAGUCCCAGUCUGGCACA